CCCCUCUCAGGGUCGCACCUGGAGAGGUUCUAGUAAUCUACCAGGUUCGACUACAGGAGAAGAGUCAAGCAGAGGCCUAUCCGUUCCAUUCCUAGCUUGGGCAGUGGCUAGAGAGUGGAAGACAAUCUGCUACAAGU